GCAGUCGAGGGGUAUAGUUCUUCGGAAUUAGAGACCGGCGCACGGGUGCGUAACGCGUAUGCAAUCUACCUUUUACAGAGGGAUAGCCCAGAGAAAUUUGGAUUAAUACCUCAUAGUAUUAUGAAAUGGCAUCAUUUUAUAAUUAAAGUCACAACGGUAAAAGAUGAGCAUGCGUCCCAUUAGCUAGUUGGUAAGGUAACGGCUUACCAAGGCUACGAUGGGUAGGGGUCCUGAGAGGGAGAUCCCCCACACUGGUACUGAGACACGGACCAGACUCCUACGGGAGGCAGCAGUGAGGAAUAUUGGACAAUGGGCGCAAGCCUGAUCCAGCCAUGCCGCGUGCAGGAUGACGGUCCUAUGGAUUGUAAACUGCUUUUAUACAGGAAGAAACCCUGGUUCGUGAACCAGCUUGACGGUACUGUAAGAAUAAGGAUCGGCUAACUCCGUGCCAGCAGCCGCGGUAAUACGGAGGAUCCAAGCGUUAUCCGGAAUCAUUGGGUUUAAAGGGUCCGUAGGCGGUUUAGUAAGUCAGUGGUGAAAGCCCAUCGCUCAACGGUGGAACGGCCAUUGAUACUGCUAAACUUGAAUUAUUAGGAAGUAACUAGAAUAUGUAGUGUAGCGGUGAAAUGCUUAGAGAUUACAUGGAAUACCAAUUGCGAAGGCAGGUUACUACUAAUUGAUUGACGCUGAUGGACGAAAGCGUGGGUAGCGAACAGGAUUAGAUACCCUGGUAGUCCACGCCGUAAACGAUGGAUACUAGCUGUUGGGGGCAACUUCAGUGGCUAAGCGAAAGUGAUAAGUAUCCCACCUGGGGAGUACGUUCGCAAGAAUGACACUCAGG
rnacentral:rRNA from 1 species